AAGGGGCACAUUGUUUUUUUUUGUAAAGUCAUGGAAGGCCUGAGGAUAUAUGUACAAGUAAAGUUUGCUGGUUUGCCAGGGCAGCAAGACACCUGGACCUGCCCUGGCAAACCAGCAAACUUUACUUGUACAUAUAUCCUUAUGCAACUAAACAAAUGGCAAAUUUUCCAUAGUUGUAAAAAACAAAUUCUGCCAGCUUCAACCAAAUGGUUAUAUAU